rnacentral:rRNA from 1 species
GACAGGGGUCUCGAGCGUUAAUCGGAAUUACUGGGCUUAAAGGGUGCGUAGGUGGGUCCGCAAGUGCCUUGUGAAAUCCCCCGGCUCAACCGGGGAACUGCGGGGCAUACUGCGGGUCUUGAGGAAGGUAGGCGCCGAGGGAACAGUAGGUGGAGCGGUGAAAUGCGUAGAUAUCUACUGGAACGCCGAUGGUGAAGACGCUCGGCUGGGCCUUUCCUGACACUGAGGCACGAAAGCGUGGGGAGCAAACAGG